CUCCAGUUGUCUCCACUUUACAGACAAGUCAUGUGUAGUCAGCAGCCAUUUGUCAAGCAGCACUUGCAGUAAGUCUGGGACUACGCAAGUCACUGGUGAUACAGUCCUGGCCCUCCAGCAGCAGCCAGUCUAGAAAAAUCUAAGAUGAAGGUGCCCGUGCCAAGUGUCACAGGAAGCCCACCAGAAUGGCCCAGAAAAAUAAAGUCAGACCAUUUUGCAUAUUGAGGACCCCUGAUGAAGAGCUGCUGUUGAGAGUCAAAGAAGCUUCCCUGG
rnacentral:lncRNA from 1 species